rnacentral:rRNA from 1 species
GAACAGGAUUAGAUACCCCCGUAGUCAAAGCAGAAAAUGAUGAAUGUCAUAGAUUAGAUAAAUAGUUUAUUCUAUAAAUGAAAAUGUAAGCAUUCCACCUCAAGAGUAAUUUGGCAACAUUGGAACUGAAAUCAUUAGACCGUUUCUGAAACCAGUAGUGAAGUAUGUUGUUUAAUUUGAUGAUCCGCAAAAAACCUUACCACAAUUUGAAUAUUUAUAUAUAUCUUUUUUUUUCGUAAAAAAAUAAAAAGGUAAUAUAUUUACCGUUGCACGGCUGUCUUCAGUUAAUGUCGCGAGACUUUGGUUAGUUCCAUUAAAUUAACGUAAACCCUUACUUUAUUUUUAUAUGAAGUAGUUCCCCGCUAUAUGGAUAU